GCACGGUUGUGUUCUCAGUCAUCAUGAAACAGUUGUGUGCGCUACAGUUAAUUAUGAUUGCAUUUCGUAUCUUGGCUAGAAGACAACGCAUCCGCAGACAUCGAAUGUUAGCCAUUCUACUAUCAGACACUGGGCUGAGGACGUGUGGGAGGACUGCAUCACAAAUACAUGGGUUAGAUUCAUCUGAAUCUUUGGCUGCAUUCAUCCUGAAGGCGGAGGGCGCCUCUCAGUAGAGACCAAGGUGGAAAUAAUGCGAUUCGGAUACGUACCGACCUUCCUACAAUAAGAGUCAACAUUCUUUGAGCCCAGCCUUGUACCGAAGACAUUUUGAUAAGAAUGCCCCAGUGGAUGAGUGGAUGCUGGCAGCAAUGACCCAAGCAAGAUGCAGUACAGCACCAACAACUGUUGCAGCGGGAGCUGCCUAGAGAAGUCCUACAAGGUGCAGUGAGUUGGAUUCAUCUUCACAUGAAAUCCACAUAACUCAUCAACUGGGACAGCAUGCAUGAAUGUUAGUGUACCACUUCAUUCGGGAUCCGCUGCUGAAAGGACAGCGCUGUUUCAUCUUGGCUGACGACUUUUAUGAAUGGAAGCAGGAGAAAGACAAGCAGCCCUUCAUCUAUUUCCCCCAGACUCAAGGACCCACUCACGUGAAAACAGAGGACCAGGAUGAGGGGACACCCUAUAAGGAGGAUACAGACAUGCAUGUCUGAAGAAGGCUCUGUAGACCUGGAAGAGGUGAGCCUAGCCACACAUGCACCUUUCAUCACUAAGAAAACUAACAUUCAGAAUAAGAUGAUUGAGUCUGAUUACACUGAUGAGGUCUCCCAUCUUCCCUUUUCUUCUCAAAAAUACUUUAGCACUCUCUCACUG